rnacentral:rRNA from 1 species
UACGAAGGGGGCUAGCGUUGUUCGGAAUUACUGGGCGUAGAGCGCACGUAGGCGGAUAUUUAAGUCAGGGGUGAAAUCCCGGGGCUCAACCCCGGAACUGCCUUUGAUACUGGGUAUCUCGAGUCCGAGAGAGGUGAGUGGAAUUCCGAGUGUAGAGGUGAAAUUCGUAGAUAUUCGGAGGAACACCAGUGGCGAAGGCGGCUCACUGGCUCGGUACUGACGCUGAGGUGCGAAAGCGUGGGGAGCAAACAGG